ensembl:lncRNA
CACCCAUGGGUGCCACCGCCCGCCGAGGCCACCACCCCCCCCCGGGGACAGCCGAGAGCCCGGAGACGUCACCCAGGUCCCCGGGCGGUGGCAGCAGCGAGGACGAGGACGGUGACGCCGCGGGGACGGCGCCGCCGCGGCCACGGGGACGUUACUUCGGCUACGCCCGCACCGUGGUGGCCCCGGCGGUGGCACCGGCGGUGGCACCGUCCCCGCUGUCCCCGCUGUCCCCGUGUCCCCGGAUCCGGCAGCUGGACGGCGCCGACGACGGCGCCCGGGGGACGGUGCCACCAUCGGUGCCACCAUCGGUGCCACCAUCGAUGCCACCAUUGAUACCACCAUGGAUACCACCAUCAAUGCCACCAUCGGUGCCACCAUCGAUGCCACCAUCGAUGCCACCAUUGAUGCCACCAUCGGUGCCACCAUCGAUGCCACCAUUGAUGCCACCAUCGAUGCCACCAUCAAUGCCACCAUCGAUGCCACCAUUGAUACCACCAUCGAUGCCACCAUCGAUGCCACCAUCGGUGCCACCAUCGGUGCCACCAUCGGUGCCACCAUCGGUGCCACCGCCCCCCGAGGGGCUGCCACCCGACAUCGUGGACUUUGUCCUGCGCGGUGUCACCGAGGACGGCGACGACGAGGGCGCCUGGCAGGGACGGCGGCUUGGGGACAUCGGUCAAAGCCACCGGCUUGGGGACAUGGGUCAAAGCCACCGGCUUGGGGACAUCGGGCAGGGCCACCACCUUGGGGACAUCGGUCAAAGCCACCACCUUGGGGACAUUGCGGAGAGCCACCACCUUGGGGACAUUGAUCACGGCCACCGGCUUGGGGACAUUGAUCAAGGCCACCAGCUUGGGGACAUCUCCCAGGGCCACCACCUUGGGGACAUUGAUCGAGGCCACCGGCUUGGGGACAUCAGUCAAAGCCACCAGCUUGGGGACAUUGAUCGAGGCCACCACCUCGGGGACAUCUCCGAGGGCCACCACCACGUCAGGAACGCGCAGGGCCACUGGCUUGGGGACAUUGGCCAGGGCCACCGGCUUGGGGACAUCAAUCAAAGCCACCGGCUUGGGGACAUUGAUCGAGGCCACCACCUCGGUGACAUCAGCCAGGGCCACCACCUCGGGGACAUCUCUCAGGGCCACCAGCUUGGAAACAUCCAGGGCCACCACCUCGGGGACAUCUCCGAGGGCCACCACCACGUCAGGGACAUGCAGGGCCACCACCUCGGGGACAUCAGCCAGGGCCACCAGCUCGGGGACAUUGGUGGAGGCCACCAGCUCGGGGACAUCGGCCAGGGCCACCAGCUCGGGGACAUGUCCCCCGAUGGCCGCGGGGACACCUUGGGGACACCGUGGGGACGUCCCAAGCGGCCGGGGGAGGGGACGGGGCCGGGGACGAAGAGACCACGGCUGGAGCUGGACGGCAGGUGGGGACACGGGGGACACUGGGGGGACACUGGGGACACUGGGGACACUGGGGACAUUGGGGACACUGGGGACAUUGGGGACAUUGGGGACAUUGGGGACAUUGGGGACACUGGGGACAUUGGGGACAUUGGGGACAUUGGGGACAUUGGGGACAUUGGGGACACUGGGGACAUUUGGGGACACUGGGGACAUCAAUGGGGACAGUGGGGACACUGGGGACAAAUUUGGGGACAUUGGGGACAUUGGGGACAUUGGGGACAAAUUUGGGGACAUUUGGGGACAUCAAUGGGGACAUUGGGGACAUUGGGGGGAUUGGGGGGAUUGGGGACAUUUGGGACACUGGGGACAUUUGGGGACAUUUUGGGGACAUUGGGGACACUGGGGGACAAAUUUGGGGACAAAUUUGGGACAUUUUGGGACAUUUGGGGACAUUUUGGGACAUUUUGGGGACAUUUUGGGACAUUUGGGGACAUUGGGGACAUUUUGGGACAUUGGGGACAAAUUUG